CCUGCUCUGCCCUCGCAAACACUGCCAAGGUGACGGAGCUCCAUGAUGACACAUCCCAGACCCAUUCUCCUUCGAUGGGGAAUUGGCUUAGUCCUGAGCAAACUCAGGAAAAAAGAUGUGGAUGAUUUCAAUCCUAAAUUUCCACUGUUCCCAAGCGGACUUCGAAAAAUAAGGAACGUCUGGAUGAUAAACGAGCGAUUUCCCAGGAAGAAAUGCUCAUCUACCGGCAGCCUGUUUCCUGUGCAUAUAGACCCAAUGCAAAUAAUUUAACCAUGGCAUCUUAUUUACCAGGGGAACAUUUGUCUAUCUUCCCUUGACGCUGUUAAAGGAAGAUGUGGGGAAUAUACAAAGACCAGGUCUUGCCAUGGUGUUCUUUUGCACUUCGUGGCGCGCGCAUUCGGAGAAAUGGGAUUGUUUAACGACGCAUGCAGCGGCGAGAUUUUUUUUUUUUUUUUUUUCUUUUUAAUUUAAAGCCUCAGUUAGGGAUCGGCUUUCAGCUCCGAGUCACGUUUUCGAAAUCGGGGCCAACAGCGUGGCGGUGGCCGGGCUGCGGGAGCGGCGGCCGGGCAGGGCGGAGCGGGGAGCGCAGCCUGCGCUGCUCGACAGUGACACUCGCUGGGCGACCGGGAGCGGGACAGGGGCCGGGAGCAGCCUCGGGAAGCGGGGACAGGCCGGUCCCUAACACCGGCAUGCGCCACACCUCCCGGCGACCUGUGGAAAUGGGAUGGGUUGAGUCCUUGUUCCCCGAAAGCGUUCGAUGCAGAUGGAGAAAGGCGGGUGAUACGGGCUGCAGAUGGAUGCAUGUGCCUGAAAAUUGGGGGCAGAGGGUUCAGCUGCUUUCUCUUCCCCACAAAAUUUGUGUGGUUCGUAACUGCCCUCUGCCACUGUCUUGAGGCUCCUGAGGUGCAUCUGCAGAACAUUCAAUGGUGACUUUAGCGGCACGGUUUGCAUAAACAGCGUGUGUCUGUGUGAACGGGAUGCGAGGCAGCGUCGUGUUCCUCCCCCCCACCAGCCUUUUUCCGCAGAACCGGAGCUGAGCUGCCUCUCCCCUGAGCUCUAGCAAUCAUUUGCAUCUAGGUCACCAUACUAGAUCACAUUCCUAAGGAUGAGGCUAAUGAUUUCUGAGGUUUUUAGAAAGGAAAGCUGAAAAUCCUCUUGCUGGGGAUAAACUCCAAUUCAUUUUACAAGUGGAAACUAAUUUCCUCCCCAUCGUACCCCAAGGUUCGUACAGAUCUCGGGCACUCUGUGAAGCUGGAACCUCUGAAACCUCACAUGGAUUCAUUCACGGAAAGAUUGUAAUGCCAAAGCUGAAACCCAAACAGUACCCACUUUUCAGUGUAUCAACAUCUGAAACGGUGUUUUUAGUGGGGGAAGAACCAAGUUCAUUUUUUUAAAGCUCUCCAAAAGGCUUGUCAAUAGGAAAUCCAGUACGUUUAUAGCAUUCCUAUACCUACGUGUGUAUGCAUUUAUGUAUUAUACAUAUAUACCUACACCUCCACAUGCUAAAAAUACUGCACAGGGAGUACCCGAGACCCAAAUUGGAGUGUAGACCGUGGGCUACCUGCCCUGCACUGGGUGUGAGGAGCGACAGGCACUGAUUCAGCCACAGAGGAUUGAAUCAUAGAAUCAUAGAAUGCUUUGGGUUGGAAGGGACCUUAAAGAUCACCUAGUUCCACCUCCCCUGCCAUGGGCAGGGACACCUCCCACUAGACCAGGCUGCUCAAAGCCUCACCCAGCCUGGCCUUGAGCACUUCCAGGGAUGGGGCAUGUUCCAGAAUCGUGUUCUGUCCGUGCCUUGUGCUCACAGGGAAGCUGCAGCAAGAUGAAGGGAGGUGUCUCUUGGUCCCUGUGUCUGCGUUAAUCUUCAGCUUUGGCCCGUGUUUUCCUUCCAAAUUACAAGUUGUUCUUCCUACAUCAUUCAAAUGCAACAUUUCCUGUUCCCACCAAAAGCUGCGUGCUCUGGGAAGAGCUCUUAACUGCAUGUAAAAGGGUUCUCUCUAUGUUCUGUUGUAGCAAAAUAACCUAGUCAUAGAUUGUGCUUCUGCAAUAUAACUACAUAUUUCAAUAUUCCUUUUCCCGAUGAAAAAGCUAAUUAGCAAGGUCGUUACAGUUGCCACUUAUAAAGGGGAAGAUAGUAAUUCCAUUAAUGUGCUCACAGGAACUUCAUUUAUAUUACCUCUUAACCUUUACAAGGAUAUUAUCAUUUCAAUAAUUAAUUGCUUUUUGCCAUUUAAUUUGCAGUUUACCAUUUUCAAGGGAAAUUACCCAUUAAACCGAGGACUCUUUUUUUUAAAAAAAAAAAACAACCAAACCCUUCACUCAAGUAGACACCACAAGCUGUCCUUAGAGAAGCUAGAUAUUUGCAAAGCCACUUUCACACUUGAGAAGAGGAUUUUGUGGUGGCUCUGCAUAUUAAAGAACUGCCCGUUUCUUGUGCCUUUAACCAUCUGGAAGAAAAUGAGUCAGAAUGGGGCUGAGGUAGUAAUGAAGAGGGAAUUAAUUCUCAUUCUCUUCCUCCAAAUUCAGGAAGGCAAAGUGUCCUUCCUCUCUGAUGGGUGCAGUGAGAGUUGUCUUUCUUCUUUCUUUGCAAUCAUCUUGUUUUCUUCAGCUGAAGUUAAUUUAUGCUGCAAUACCCAUCUGUAAGUGCUUCCGUGAACUUCAGUGACUGAAAAAAGAAAGGAACUUUGUCUCAACCUUGUAAAACACAGAAACUCUGGCCAUGAAUCACCAAGCACUUAGGCACAUUGUCAAGCCAGUUCCCGACACUUUGGAGAAUGGAGCUCAACACACAUAUUCCUGCUAACACUCAAGUUUCUAGUAAAACAACUGUUCAUUCCAGUGAAUCAGACACAAGCCUGUGGUGAGUCGCUGGCAUAAUAUCCCCACUACUGAUAACAGAAAUUGUGUCCAAAUCUCGCCAUGCUAAAAGAAAAUUAGAUUAAUCUGAGAAGGUCAGUCUUGCAUCGCAAGUAGGCAGAUUCUGAUACAGUGGAAAACAUACCUCUGAGAGAUGGAUUAGCAUGGGACGAUGGAGAGGAGGUGACAAAAUGAAUGAAGAAAGGAGACACAGAAGAGGAAACAGAAGAAGCAGGCAGGAGGCCUGGAUGAUUACCUAUGGACUUCACCCCUGACUUUCAGAUGGUAGAAGACUGGUGAGAUGCAUCCCACCACAAGUACUUAAUUUUGUCUUCAAGUCUUCAGGGACAUAAUUAUCGGCGUCCAGUGCACCAGUCGUGGGGAUACCAGCCAUGCAAUAAUGCCACAAAAGCAGAAAUGACCACCAGAAAGGGAUGGCAGAUAAUUUUAGCUAGAAACUGGAGGCUUAAACAUAUUUCUUCUGGAGUUCUCCAGCAUCUCUGAGGGUGAUGGCAUCUCGCCAAGGCUUUGGAAGGGCUGCAUGAGCUGACACACAAAGAUGAAUGGUUGAGGCAAGCCCGGAGGACACUUCUGAGUCAACUUUACAGAGGGAAUCACAUCCAAAUAUACCAGGUGAAAUUUCAACCCUUACUGCAGAGAGUGGCAGUGCUGUGACCAACGCUAUUGACCUUGCCAGGGAUGUGGCCACAUAGUUUGGAUGACCACUUCCUUAGAGAAGUCCUGUAUUCGGUGGAGUUCUAGAGCCAAAUAUAUUUCGACCAAACCCUAUUAGUUUUGCUGACACAGUACUUCCCUGGAGAUGAGUGUUUGUUGUGGUGGUUUUUUUUUUCAGCAGGAGAUGAACAGGAAGAUUUCAUGGGUUUGGUAUGCAUUAAAGUGCAUACUGCACUGCUAGUGUUAUCUUUUCAGUGAGUUAUAACAAACAGGAGUUUUACCACUCCUCAACCAGGUGGCUGAUUCAGCAUCACAUAUAUUAUAGUCACUACUGCUGACUGUGAGGCAUGACAAUAAAUCCUCAAGAGAGCUAGCAUGAGCUAACUGAAAACUUCAGAACUGUACAUUCUUCUGGAGCUUCAAGGGACAGGGACAGGUUUCACUACAUGACUACAGGUUGCUGUCAGGGUGACCUUUGGCCAAAUCACUCACAGAGUCAUACCUUAAUUUGCAGAAUGGGGUCCACGCUGCCUGAGCUUUUGAAAAAUUGUUAGCUCAAGGAAUGGGCUGAUUUGGCCUGCUGAAAACUAUGUACAAUAUUAACCUCUCAGAAAAUAAACUGACAAAAAAUCCAACUCUAAUUGACUUAAAGGUACAAAACAUUUUCCAGUACUCCCGCCUAUCAGCUGGAUUUUCCAGCCCAACCGCAGCACAAAAUGACUUCAAAAUGCUGCAGAAAGCCAAUUAAUAAUUUGAUGGCAGAGAACUAGUGAAGAACAUAAGGUAGUGAUGGACUUCUUUUGGGGUACAUUGUGUGCAGUGGAGAGCCUGGUGGAGCUGAGUUCCACUCACCUGAUCUUCUAUAGGGGCUGCAGCAUAAAGGGCUAUUAUCAGUUUCACAGGGAUGGGGUACCUGAGCAGCAAGUCACUAUAGCCAGCUUCCUGUAGGUGCUCUUCUUCACUGCAUCUGAAAGCAUCAGGGGCUGUAAACUGUAUGUAACAGUAGCAUUGUCAAGUUCUUUUUAUCUAUUACACUGUAAGAAAAUAUAACUAAUUAUGAGCAUUUGUUAUAUCACCUUUCACCUCCCUGACUUCAUAAACUUUUCUGUUCCUGUGUCUUCUGUGCAUCAUACUGAGGUAAGCUCUGCAUUAGUCCGUCCGUCCUUCCUUCCUUCCUUCCUUCCUU